UACGAAGGGGGGCUAGCGUUGCUCGGAAUCACUGGGCGUAAAGCGUGCGCAGGCGGUUAUGUAAGACAGGUGUGAAAUCCCCGGGCUUAACCUGGGAACUGCAUUUGUGACUGCAUAGCUAGAGUACGGUAGAGGGGGAUGGAAUUCCGCGUGUAGCAGUGAAAUGCGUAGAGAUGUGGAGGAACACCGAUGGCGAAGGCAGCCCCCUGGGUUAACACUGACGCUCAGGCACGAAAGCGUGGGGAGCAAACAGG
rnacentral:rRNA from 1 species